rnacentral:rRNA from 1 species
GGACUACACGGGUUUCUAAUCCUGUUUGCUCCCCACGCUUUCGCGUCUCAGCGUCAGCAACGAUCCAGAGGGCCGCCUUCGCCGCCGGUGUUCCUCCUGAUAUCUACGCAUUUCACCGCUACACCAGGAAUUCCACCCUCCUCUAUCGCGCUCCAGCUAACUAGUUUCCGAUGCACUUCCGGGGCUGAGCCCCGGGCUUUCACACCAGACUUGGCUAACCGCCUACACGCCCUUUACGCCCAGUCAAUCCGAACAACGCUUGCACCCUCCGUCUUACCGCGGCGGCUGGCAC